UACUUCUUGGUGACGUUGUUUUCGAUCCCUAGUUUGAAAGCUUAGCGUUAUAGUCUUCGGCAGCAAUGAAUAUGUUCCCUAAUGAUUGGAAAAGUUUGUCCUAUUUGUUUGUCGUUAUUUUAAAUUUUGGUGGUGCAUGGAUGGCUGAUUUGAACAGAACUGUUAUGGAUUAAUAUGGUUAUUGUGGUAGCUUGCAGAUAUUUGUGAUUUGUAUUACUAUUUCCACUCGAACAGUAGAACGUGAAAGACAUGUUGUGGACUGUUCCCGAAGUAAACACACAAGUGUCUGUGUGUGAUAUGUGAGCUUAGCGACGGUUACUCACUGUCAAUAAUACCAACAUGGAUCAAACCGUUGAACAAUUAGAAUAUUCGCCAAUGGCAAUAAUUAUUCCAUAGAUAAAAAAACCCAAAUGUGUCAAGCCAACAGCAAAGAAUUCAAAAUCAAAGUAAAAUGAACAUUAGCGAGUGGAGUAGCUCAACAAAUAGCGAAGAAAAUGUUAAUCAAAUAACAGAUAAUGAUAAAAAUAACACCUGGAACUAAGUCAUUUCAAAU